AUUUAUCUAAUAUAAAAAGUAUACUUGAUUUCCAAUCAAAAAGUUUGUUACAACAAGAUAAAUA
rnacentral:tRNA from 1 species